ACGGAAUCAACUAAGGGCGCAUGGGGGAUGCCUUGGCUCUCGGAGGCGAAGAAGGACGUGACAAGCUGCGAAAAGCUGCGGCGAGUGGCAAAUACACCGUGACCCGCAGAUAUCCGAAUGGGGCAACCCGUAGGGAGCGAUCCCUACAUCAGUCGGAACGACUGAGGCGAACGUGGGGAACUGAAACAUCUUAGUACCCGCAGGAAGAGAAAGUAACAACGAUUCUCCCAGUAGCGGCGAGCGAACGGGGAAGAGCCCAAACCGGCGGCGUUUCGGCGCGUGCCGGGGUUAUAGGACCGCUCAAAGGCGCAUGCGAGCGUAGCGGAAGGAGAUGGAAUGCUCCCCCGCAGACGGUGAGAGGCCGGUACGCGAAACGCAGACAUGCCAGGAGCGGCACCUGAGUAGGGCGGGACACGAGAAAUCCCGUCUGAAUUAUCGGGGACCAUCCCGAAAGGCUAAAUACUACCGAGAGACCGAUAGCGAACCAGUACCGUGAGGGAAAGGUGAAAAGCACCUCGGACAGAGGAGUGAAAAAGACCCUGAAACCAUGCGCCUACAAGCGGUCGGAGCCACUUUGUGUGGUGACGGCGUGCCUUUUGCAUAAUGAACCUGCGAGUUGCCGUCGGCGGCGAGGCUAAGGGCUUCAGGUCCGGAGCCGGAGCGAAAGCGAGUCCGAACAGGGCGUAAAGUCGCCGGAGGCAGACGCGAAACCGAGUGAUCUACGCAUGGGCAGGAUGAAGACGUGGUAACACACGUUGGAGGUCCGAACCGGUAAGCGUUGAAAAGCUUUCGGAUGACCUGUGCGUAGGAGUGAAAGGCCAAUCAAACUCGGAGAUAGCUCGUACUCCCCGAAAUGCAUUUAGGUGCAGCCUCGGGACUAUGCCGCGGAGGUAGAGCGACCGAUAGGAUGCGAGGGCUUCGCCGCCUGUCAAGUCCUGACGAACUCCGAAUGCCGCGGCACGAAUUCCGGGAGUGAGGGCGCGGGUGCUAAGGUCCGCGUCCGAAAGAGGAACAACUCAGACCAUCGUCUAAGGCCCCGAAAUCCGGGCUGAGUUGAAGGCAAUAACGAGGUGGGGCCGCACAGACAGCCGGGAUGUUGGCUUGGAAGCAGCCAUUCAUUUAAAGAGUGCGUAACAGCUCACCGGUCAAGCGGCCCCGCGUGGAUAAUAAUCGGGCAUAAGUCCGGUGCCGAAGACGUGGGAUUAAUUAAUAAUUAAUCGGUAGGGGAGCAUUCCAUCGGCGGUGAAGGUCGGACGCGAGUCCGGCUGGAGCUUAUGGAAAAGCAAAUGCAGGUAUAAGUAACGACAAAGGGGAUGAGAAAUCCCCUCGCCGAAAGACCAAGGGUUCCUGAACAACGCUAAUCGGUUCAGGGUAAGUCGGGACCUAAGGCCACCCCGUCAGGGCAUGGUCGAUGGACAUGCGGUCAAUAUUCCGCAACCCGUGUAUGUGGAAUCCCAGCGGAGACGGAGAAGCGAAACGCACGCGUGCUGACGGAAUAGCACGUUGAAGGAAAACAGCCAUAAGGUACGGCGGAAACGUACCUGGCGAAAUCCGACAGUACACGAGCCGCAUGCGGUGAGUGACAGUUGCGGAGGAGCAGGCUCCCGAGAAAAUCCGCGCGGGGUGUUCGACACAUAUUCGGCCCGUACCGGAAACCGACACAGGUGGUCGGGUAGAAAAUACCGAGGCGCUCGAGAGAUUCACGGUCAAGGAACUAGGCAAACUGACCCCGUAACUUCGGGAUAAGGGGUCCUCCCCCCUCAACAAGGGGAGGCGCAGAGAAUAGGUCCAGGCAACUGUUUAGCAAAAACACAGGGCUGUGCAAAGCCGCAAGGCGCAGUAUACAGUCUGACACCUGCCCGGUGCCGGAAGGUUAAGCGGAGCUGUCAGAGCAAUCGAAGCAGUGAAGUGAAGCC
rnacentral:rRNA from 1 species